rnacentral:lncRNA from 1 species
UAGAACUUGAGGUGCAAUCCGUCCCCUGGAAAGUGCCUGUAGAUGAGGCUUUUCCUUGAUAUGCCUCGUAGAUAAAAACCUACGAAGAUAUGACAGUAAAAUAAAAUGCUACAUGCAGAUUAGUUGCAUAUCUCUCUUCUUGUUCGUUGGCUUGCACAUGUAUAGUCAAAUCUAGAUCAAAUAUAAUAUGAUGUUUGAGAGGCUGACAUAAAAGAAAAAGAGUGGAUAUAAUAUUAGGUUAGAUGGUUCUCGCACAUAGACAGGUGCAACCGAGCCGAUGAGAAGAUCAGAAGCCAACGCUUGCUGACUUGGGAUAAAUUUAGUGAUGGCACCUGAUAAUAAUUCCGAACAUAAAAAAUGUCUUGAGUUGCAAAGACAAUGGUAAGCAUCAGAAUAAAUUGUUGGAUGCAAAGAAAUAUGUAUAUAUUCAUUCGGAACAUCAAUUCAUUGAAAGAAGCAAUGGGUCUAAAUAUACCGAUGUAAAUUAAAGAUUAUAAAUACAAUUUAUUUAAACCUAUAUCAACAUAGGCAGACAUAUAACUUGCAAAUCACCAAAAAGAAUGCCCUAUAUGCCAUGCAUAAAUGGACAACUUCAUAAGAAAAAGACCACUUUUUUCGUAAAUAGAUUACUUUCUAGUAGAUGUUUGCUCAUCAUAUAUAAAACCAGAAAAAUGUUACCCUCUCCAGACCUAAGUAUCAGAUCCAGAACGUACGUUGUUAUAUGAGUUUCUGACACAUUCUAUGGAUCAUUUGCUAGGAUAGACAGUGGCAUGCGCGGUCUGUGAAAGCGGCAUAGGAGAUGGCCAAUGAUCAAAUGGACAAACAUCUUAACUACCCUUUCUUUUUUAUAUACCUAAAUGGUGGACGGUUGGGCCCUGUACUGUACUCAGAAGCAACACACAUGUAUGUUGCAAGUGUGAGACCAUGAGUAAUAAGUUGUUACCAAUGACAUAAAACAUUUCAGAGGAAGUAGAUUGCCAGGAAUCGUACGUACCAAAUCUCGCAUGAUAGUUGUAGAAACCACAAGUGAAUGAGGGGGAAUCCUACACAAUAAUUUAGUACCAAAUUGUUGUCAGACCAUGACUUAUCUAAAUAAUAAAGCACUACCAGGAAACAAUAGUUGAAGUGUGAGGAACCAGAAGUUUGAUGUAUCACCCUUGCUGUUGGCGAGUGAAAUAUGAGAAAAUCCGAUGGGAAAUCAGUAGAUGAUUCGUAUAAAUAUUGGGGGGAAAUCAGAAAAAAAUAGGUGAUGUUUUAAUACCUUGAAUUAAUUUCAUUGCAUUGUAGUUUCUGUGUUGUUAAACUUCUUCUCCAAAGCCCAUUUAAUCCUGCAAAAAAAUAAUAUGAGAUGAGUAAUUACAGAGCAUCGAAACAGGCCG